rnacentral:tRNA from 2 species
GGGUCGGUGCCCGAGUGGCUAAAGGGGGCGGACUGUAAAUUCGCUGGCGAGAGCCUACACUGGUUCGAAUCCAGUCCGGCCCA